AGAGGACCGGAGUGGACGCAUCACUGGUGUUCGGGUUGUCAUGCCAAUGGCACUGCCCGGUAGCUAAAUGCGGAAGAGAUAAGUGCUGAAAGCAUCUAAGCACGAAACUUGCCCCGAGAUGAGUUCUCCCUGACCCUUUAAGGGUCCUGAAGGAACGUUGAAGACGACGACGUUGAUAGGCCGGGUGUGUAAGCGCAGCGAUGCGUUGAGCUAACCGGUACUAAUGAACCGUGAGGCUUAACCUUACAACGCCGAAGCUGUU
rnacentral:rRNA from 1 species